rnacentral:rRNA from 1 species
UACGUAGGGUGCAAGCGUUGUCCGGAAUCAUUGGGCGUAAAGCGCGCGUAGGUGGUCAUGUAAGUCCGCUGUGAAAGUCAAAGGCUCAACCUUUGAAAGCCGGUGGAUACUGCAUCACUGGAGUUCGGCAGGGGAGACUGGAAUUCCUGGUGUAGCGGUGAAAUGCGCAGAUAUCAGGAGGAACACCGAUGGCGAAGGCAGGUCUCUGGGCCACUACUGACGCUGAGAAGCGAAAGCAUGGGGAGCGAACAGG